GUUCCUGUUGCUUUCUAAACCCAUCCAGCCAUCUCUCUGCAAAUUGCCACACUUCUGAGCAGCACUGACUUCCGCCAACAGCCACUAUCAAUGCUGUGGAGAGGUCUGGCACUUUUCAGCAAGAUGACAAAGACAGUGAAGUGACAGCUAAGAACUUCCUCACGAUGUUCUCCCACUUCUUCAUUCCUAUUACAUCACCACGACAGGUCAAAUUUCACUGUAAGAAACAAAAGCUCUGUUUGGAUCUGAUUUGCGGGCCUUGUCCACGCCCCACUGACCAAUGGCGUAAGCCUGCUGCCCGUGCUGUUGGAACACAACAGUCCUAA
rnacentral:lncRNA from 1 species